rnacentral:rRNA from 1 species
GACAUAGGUGGCGAACGUUAUCCGGAAUUACUGGGCGUAAAGAGUGCGUAGGUGGUUCAAUAAGUUACUGGUGGGAAAUCGGGGCUCAACCUCGUGGAAGUGAGUAAUACUAUUAAACUAGAGGGUCGGAGAGGUUAACGGAAUUCUAUGUGUAGCGGUAAAAUGCUUAAAUAUAUAGAGGAACACCAAACGGCGAAGGCAGUCAACUAUUCGAUUCCUGACGUUGAGGCACGAAAGCGUGGGGAGCAAGACGG